UUCGGGUAUCAGCCUUUUGGGUGUGAUUUUGUGGAACGUGAGGAGUUAAACGCCUUCAUGCCUGCAUAUUCGUGCACUUUGGGUGUACUUGCCCGUAUGGUUGGUUAACAUCAAUUUUGAUGGUCAUAAAAUGACUGGAGGAAUGUAGCUUCGAUCUCGUAUUGAAGUGUUAUAGCCUUCAGUAGAUGUGAUGAUCGAGAUCGAGGAUUGCAACGGAUACCCUUCGGGGCUACCUGUCUGAUCUCUGAUCGUUGCUCUGGUGCCGAAAGCUUGCUUACGGUUAUCAAAGUCGAUGGUCAAUAGGUUAGAACGGGUUAAAUUCGUUAAGGAUGUUGACGUA
rnacentral:rRNA from 1 species